rnacentral:rRNA from 1 species
AUGAACGCUGGCGGCGUGCCUAAUACAUGCAAGUCGAGCGAACGGACGAGAAGCUUGCUUCUCUGAUGUUAGCGGCGGACGGGUGAGUAACACGUGGAUAACCUACCUAUAAGACUGGGAUAACUUCGGGAAACCGGAGCUAAUACCGGAUAAUAUUUUGAACCGCAUGGUUCAAAAGUGAAAGACGGUCUUGCUGUCACUUAUAGAUGGAUCCGCGCUGCAUUAGCUAGUUGGUAAGGUAACGGCUUACCAAGGCAACGAUGCAUAGCCGACCUGAGAGGGUGAUCGGCCACACUGAAACUGAGACACGGUCCAGACUCCUACGGGAGGCAGCAGUAGGGAAUCUUCCGCAAUGGGCGAAAGCCUGACGGAGCAACGCCGAGUGAGUGAUGAAGGUCUUCGGAUCGUAAAACUCUGUUAUUAGGGAAGAACAUAUGUGUAAGUAACUGUGCACAUCUUGACGGUACCUAAUCAGAAAGCCACGGCUAACUACGUG